GAUCCGCUGCUGCCGUGCGCCGUGCGUCUGGAUCAGGCGCAGGUCGCCGCCAUAGGAGAGCAGGGUGGCGUGGUCUUUGUGGUGGGCAUGGAGCAAGGGAGGAUGAGGCGCUGGUAUGAGGAAAGGAGCAGGAAGGUCGGAGUUCCAGGCGGUGCUGGCCGUCGUCACAUGUCCCCAGUCUAGAUCUAAGAAAAAAGAGAAGGGGAUGAAUCUGGAGGAAGAGCUUGGUGAAGAACAAGGUGUUCGUAAUGGCAACGGUGGUAAUCAACGAUGAGAAAAAAGGACCGAGAUUGUAUUUGUACUAGGUAUGUUCCUCAUCUCUCUCAGUCCUUGUUCCAAUCCCCACCUUGAUGUAACUGUUUCUUCACAACUAUUGGAUGUGUCUUAGGAGAUGAAUGCCAUGGAUUGUUUAGAUUCUUGUUGAGCUAACCACUACUUAAACUAUUUGUCCCCUUGUUAAAGCUAAUCAUAGUAAUAGUUGGUGAUCGUCUGGCUGCUGUGUAUAGUGGCAACCAA